UACAGAGGGUGCUAGCGUUGUUCGGAAUCAUUGGGCGUAAAGGGCGUGUAGGCGGUUUGUUAAGUCAUGUGUGAAAUCCCCGGGCUUAACCUGGGAAUUGCGCUUGAAACUAGCGGGCUUGAGUGUGGCAGAGGGGGGUGGAAUUCCACGUGUAGCAGUGAAAUGCGUAGAGAUGUGGAGGAACACCGAUGGCGAAGGCAGCCCCCUGGGUCAACACUGACGCUCAUGCACGAAAGCGUGGGGAGCAAACAGG
rnacentral:rRNA from 1 species